CUUGCCUGGAUUAUUUCCUCUUGGAUGUAACGUCUACCUGGGUCGGGGGGCUCCUCCCUCGCUCUCGGCCGACUGAGCCGGGCUGGGGCCUUCGAGGAAGCGCGGGCCGCCGGGCGGCUGGAAGUGGGGGAAGGAGAGGAGGGGGAGGGGGUCGGGAUACCGGGAGCCGCCUCCUUUCUCCUCCGCCGACUGCGGCUCCCGCAGGCUGGCCGGGCGUCCUCGCACACUCGCCCAGUUUCUCACAGCCUCGCGUCCCGUCAGCUUCUCCCUCACCCCACUCCCACACACUCUCACUCCCACACACUCA
rnacentral:lncRNA from 1 species